rnacentral:rRNA from 1 species
UUGGAGGGCAAGUCUGGUGCCAGCAGCCGCGGUAAUUCCAGCUCCAAUAGCGUAUAUUAAAGUUGUUGCAGUUAAAAAGCUCGUAGUUGAAUUUCGGGAUCAAGGGAUCGGUCAUGCCUUGGUAUGUACUGGUCUUAUUGGUUCUCACCUUCUAAAGAACCAUGAUGUCAUUCAUUUGAUGUUAUGGGGAAUUAGGACUGUUACCUUGAAAAAAUUAAAGUGUUUAAAGCAAGCUUACGCUUGAAUACAUUAGCAUGGAAUAAUGAAAUAGGACAUCAGAUUCUAUUUUGUUGGUUUCUAGGAUCGAUGUAAUGAUUAAUAGGGAUAGUUGGGGGCAUUAGUAUUCAAUUGCCAGAGGUGAAAUUCUUGGAUUUAUUGAAGACUAACUACUGCGAAAGCAUUUGCCAAGGAUGUUUUCAUUAAUCAAGAACGAAAGUUAGGGGAUCGAAGACGACCAGAUACCGUCGUAGUCUUAACCAUAAACUAUGCCGACUAGGGAUCGGAUGAUGUUAAUUUUUUAAUGACUCAUUCGGCACCUUACGGGAAACCAAAGUGUUUGGGUUC